UGGAUCAAUAGAAUCCACAUUGGAGAACUUUUGCGGUAGUCUUCUUGGAUCCAAAGUGGCCACCAUAGGCUUGGUCGUGACAAAAGGACAAGAUGCUUUUGACCUCAUGGUUCUGAACAUACCUUCUGAUGAUUUGGUCAGGAUAUUAUUUAAAUAGAUAUCGAUCAUCCCAAAUAAAAUACUUUUCUGAGGUAAAGAAUUUAUGUUUAUCCUGAGUGGUCCAGUG
rnacentral:lncRNA from 1 species